GAAACCGAGUCUUAACCGGGCGUUAAGUUGCAGGGUAUAGACCCGAAACCCGGUGAUCUAGCCAUGGGCAGGUUGAAGGUUGGGUAACACUAACUGGAGGACCGAACCGACUAAUGUUGAAAAAUUAGCGGAUGACCUGUGGCUGGGGGUGAAAGGCCAAUCAAACCGGGAGAUAGCUGGUUCUCCCCGAAAGCUAUUUAGGUAGCGCCUCGUGAAUUCAUCUCCGGGGGUAGAGCACUGUUUCGGCUAGGGGGCCAUCCCGGCUUACCAACCCGAUGCAAACUGCGAAUACCGGAGAAUGUUAUCACGGGAGACACACGGCGGGUGCUAACGUCCGUCGUGAAGAGGGAAACAACCCAGACCGCCAGCUAAGGUCCCAAAGUCAUGGUUAAGUGGGAAACGAUGUGGGAAGGCCCAGACAGCCAGGAUGUUGGCUUAGAAGCAGCCAUCAUUUAAAGAAAGCGUAAUAGCUCACUGGUCGAGUCGGCCUGCGCGGAAGAUGUAACGGGGCUAAACCAUGCACCGAAGCUGCGGCAGCGACGCUGAUGCGUUGUUGGGUAGGGGAGCGUUCUGUAAGCCUGCGAAGGUGUGUCGUGAGGCAUGCUGGAGGUAUCAGAAGUGCGAAUGCUGACAUAAGUAACGAUAAAGCGGGUGAAAAGCCCGCUCGCCGGAAGACCAAGGGUUCCUGUCCAACGUUAAUCGGGGCAGGGUGAGUCGACCCCUAAGGCGAGGCCGAAAGGCGUAGUCGAUGGGAAACGGGUUAAUAUUCCCGUACUUGGUGUUACUGCGAAGGGGGGACGGAGAAGGCUAUGUUGGCCGGGCGACGGUUGUCCCGGUUUAAGCGUGUAGGUGUGUGUUCCAGGUAAAUCCGGUUCACUUUAACACUGAGGCGUGAUGACGAGGCACUACGGUGCUGAAGCAACAAAUGCCCUGCUUCCAGGAAAAGCCUCUAAGCAUCAGGUAACAUCAAAUCGUACCCCAAACCGACACAGGUGGUCAGGUAGAGAAUACCAAGGCGCUUGAGAGAACUCGGGUGAAGGAACUAGGCAAAAUGGUGCCGUAACUUCGGGAGAAGGCACGCUGACACGUAGGUGAAGUGAUUUACUCAUGGAGCUGAAGUCAGUCGAAGAUACCAGCUGGCUGCAACUGUUUAUUAAAAACACAGCACUGUGCAAACACGAAAGUGGACGUAUACGGUGUGACGCCUGCCCGGUGCCGGAAGGUUAAUUGAUGGGGUCAGCGCAAGCGAAGCUCCUGAUCGAAGCCCCGGUAAACGGCGGCCGUAACUAUAACGGUCCUAAGGUAGCGAAAUUCCUUGUCGGGUAAGUUCCGACCUGCACGAAUGGCGUAAUGAUGGCCAGGCUGUCUCCACCCGAGACUCAGUGAAAUUGAACUCGCUGUGAAGAUGCAGUGUACCCGCGGCAAGACGGAAAGACCCCGUGAACCUUUACUAUAGCUUGACACUGAACAUUGAGCCUUGAUGUGUAGGAUAGGUGGGAGGCUUUGAAGUGUGGACGCCAGUCUGCAUGGAGCCGGCCUUGAAAUACCACCCUU
rnacentral:rRNA from 1 species